CUCAUUGCUCCCCAUGUUGGAAAGGUAUGCUGGAGUUGCCACUGAUAUACAUCUUCAAUUGCUGAUAAAAAUUUUCUGAGUUCCAUUUUCAGUUCAAUCUGCAUUUGCUUUGGCCAAGAAAAUUGCAUAAAAGGCCUAGUGCCGGUUUUUCCAUCAACAUGGGAAGCAAUAAAAUUUAUAAUAAUUGCAUCACAAGGCCCCUUUAACUUUUAUAAAAGCUACUUUUUCCCAUGUAUGGAUUGCUUGUAAGUAAUAACUACGUUACUGGCAAUUUUCUUGAUCUAUCUUCUCUGAAGUUUCUGAAAUAUAAUCGAUCUGCCUAAUGGGUUUGAUGUGGAAUUUCUUUUCUCCUCUUCAUGGAUCUGAUUAUGUUUACUGGUGGAAAGGGUUAUUUGAAUCACUUUGUGCACGACUUGAAUGUAGAGUGCUGUAGGUAUUUGGGAAUAAAUUAGUUGAAGUGUCUCUUUGUAUUUUUUUUCUUAAGAUGUGGAGUCUAGACUUAUGUUAGUUGCUUUGGAUCAGCGUCAUAUCUUUGGAGGGAUCUGGAUGGUUAGAUAGGCCUUUUGGAUAGAUUAGCAAAGCAAUUUUGGAAUGGAUUGGGAUAAGCCACUGAGCAUGAAGGUGAUGGUUUUCUUAGGGACGUGUCUAUGAUUACCCCUGUUGCUGACAGAAAAGAGGUCAUGGAUUUUCAACCUAUUAGCAUUCGGACCGAUGUCUAUAGGAUUCAUUCAGGUUCUAGGCUUGUAGCUGCCAAAGAAAGUUCUUUUUACUAGAUAUAUUUAUAAUCACAGGCAAAUUCUUGAAGAUACACAAAUUCUGGAUGGUUGGCUAAUGUUGACUGUGGUUCUUUUCUUUCAGUUAGUUUAGCCUAAUAUUUACAACAUGGUUGUUAGUUCUUGUGGUAGCAAAGAGUGCUAGUAAUUUAUUGUGUAGAAUCCUCUAAUUAUUCAGCUAGAAGUCAAAUGUUAGUGGAAAAGCUUUCCUUGCAUGCUGUUUGAAAAGGAAACAUCAGCAUGCAUGUUGGGACAUCAGCGGGCAUGGGAUUUUCUGUUUAUUUAUUUAGUUUUUUAUGGGAGCCUUUUCACAAUUUCUUUAAGGAAAUUCAUGGAUAUUUUCAUCUUCACAAGGAUGAUACAUGGUUAUGAAAGACUGAUCACAUCAUAGUUGUGACUCCUUGAGAAAUCAUAUGUUCAGAGAUUGUUGAGGUUAGAAAUUGAGUAAUUCACAAUGAAUCGCAUUCUUCAGCAGCAAUACAAAUUUUUUUUUUGUUUGUUUAU
rnacentral:misc_RNA from 1 species